rnacentral:rRNA from 1 species
GACGAACGCUGGCGGCGUGCCUAAUACAUGCAAGUAGAACGCUGAAACUUGGUGCUUGCACCGAGCGGAUGAGUUGCGAACGGGUGAGUAACGCGUAGGUAACCUGCCUGGUAGCGGGGGAUAACUAUUGGAAACGAUAGCUAAUACCGCAUAAGAGUAGAUGUUGCAUGACAUUUGCUUAAAAGGUGCAAUUGCACCACUACCAGAUGGACCUGCGUUGUAUUAGCUAGUUGGUGGGGUAACGGCUCACCAAGGCGACGAUACAUAGCCGACCUGAGAGGGUGAGCGGCCACACUGGGACUGAGACACGGCCCAGACUCCUACGGGAGGCAGCAGUAGGGAAUCUUCGGCAAUGGACGGAAGUCUGACCGAGCAACGCCGCGUGAGUGAAGAAGGUUUUCGGAUCGUAAAGCUCUGUUGUAAGAGAAGAACGAGUGUGAGAGUGGAAAGUUCACACUGUGACGGUAUCUUACCAGAAAGGGACGGCUAACUACGUG